AUUGCUUCUUGGCCUUUCAGCUAAGAUCACAUGUAGUAUCUAUCCUUAUCAGUUUAAUAUCUGAUAUGUCCUCUGUCGAAGGACAUUAUAUUAAAUGGAGUUUUGGAGCUGGGAGAUGGAAUAGGAGCUUGCUCCAUGCAUCAGCCCGGUGUUGCAGUACUUCUGGGAACCGUGUACCAAAA